rnacentral:misc_RNA from 1 species
UCCCGCACCACGCACACAGGAUCUGCGCUGAGCAUCGUCUCUCACGCAUCAAGAGAACAACAACAACGCAGCUGUGGCGACAUCUCUUACCCACCAACGCAAACCUCUCCUACUCCCAGUCUUUAGCAGAGCAUCAUGGACGACUACCACGACGAUGAUGUGCACAGCAACUACGGAUAUGAGGAUGACGAGUACGACGACGCCGCGGAUGACUGGGAAGCCGAGGCCGCAGAGGAGGAGCAGAGGGCCGUCGCCGAGGAGGCAGCUCGACAAGCCCGUUUGGAAAAGAAGCUGGCCACGCGUGCCCCGGUGAAGAAGGAAGAGGAGGAGGAGGCAGUGCCAGAGGAUGUGGAGCGCGCAAUGGCAGACAUGCGGCAGGUGGCCAACGACAUCGCCUCGGGUAGUGCUCUUCUCUCCGGAGGAGAUUCGGAGGAGCUGAUUGGGAACCAUAAGCUGACUUCUGACGCGGAUGUUGACCGGGUAGGCACCAUGAUUGCAGACCGCCUCACGUCCUUUUCCGACUCCGCCCACUACGACAAGCUAAUCGUCGAAGUUUUUCAGCGCUUGACCAACCACCUGACGAGCACGCAUCUCCUGAACGAGGAGGCGGACAGGGUACACCGUCUGCGCGAGGAGCUCAAGCGCGCGGCGAAGGCAAAGCCGAAGCCGGUAGAGAAAGCGCCUGUUACGCAGAGCGGCCUCGAUCUCGAUAACUUCGAGGACAGGGGUGGCGCCGCCGUUGCGGAGGAGAACGAGGACGAGACGGGCUGGUAGACGAUGUCUCACUCAAUGUGUAUCCCUGUUUCACCUAAAGUUCGAGGAUGGGGGGAAAGAUCGGGUAAGGAUGAAUAAUAUGCGUGUCUGUGUCGAUUGACGGGUGGUCAGGUGUGCCGAAGAGGGAGGCGGAGAGUGCAGCAGCUGGGCAGGGAGGGAGGGGAGAACGAUGGUCAAUCGAGGAGCGGUGACGUUGUACCUGCGGUGUCCUACUACCACUGAUACCGCCUCCGUGCAUGUUAAAAAACUGCCACCAGCAGCUGUGUGAUUGCUAUGAAAGCGCUUCAUAGGCUGUGCAACAGUCUCGCCGGCGGCCGUUCUAUUAGACGUCCCUUUUCCAGGUGCGCACACUAGAUUCGUUCUUCAUUCCCCACCCCUCUCGCCUGCUCUGUCACGCCCUGCUGGCACUCACCCAUGCAGACGGGCCGGGCCACUCCCUUUUUUUAUUCUUACCUCUAUCUCUCUUCGUCUUCCCCUGGGCUCGCCCCCUCGUCGGAGUUUCCCAGUCGUAUCGAAUGACGGCAGCACCGUGGUGGAGAAGUCAGAUAUACGCCAAGCAGAUUAUUGAACAUCUGUUGCUAAGUCACCAUUAAGCGGUCACGCGUGCGUGUGUGCGUGGCGGUCCGCAUUACACACGCGCACGUGCGUACACCUAUGCGCACAACAGCGACACAUCGACGGCAUUCAAGUGCGAAGGCGUGGAGAGAGGACGAAACCCGAGUCACGGCUGUGUGUGCUGAAGACGCUAAGCUGAGCGUUGCGUGAAAAGGAUGACAAUGCUAUGCACCAUCCGCGUGUGCGAGAGUCCACAAACCCGCACACAUGCAGGGCACUCGAUGUUGCACAUACGUCG